GGCGGUCCGCCGCCUGUGACGUCGCGAGAAGUCCAUUGAACCUUAUCAUUUAGAGGAAGGAGAAGUCGUAACAAGGUUUCCGUAGGUGAACCUGCGGAAGGAUCAUUGUCGUUGCCUUUCCAGAAACACGACCGUCGAACACGUGACAGAAUGCUGCCGCGGAGGCGCUUGCCGCCUCCUCGGCCCCMCCGGCCUCCUCCCUCUCGCCCUUCCGGGCGCGUUGGUUGCUGGUCGGAAUACGGCGCGGGAUGACGCCAAGGAACACGGUAAAGCUGAGGCGCCGGCGAGCCGCUCAGGGUCUCCGUCGGUUGCCAAGGCCAACAGAAAAAAUAUGACUCUCGGCAACGGAUAUCUCGGCUCUCGCAUCGAUGAAGAACGUAGCGAAAUGCGAUACGUGGUGUGAAUUGCAGAAUCCCGUGAACCAUCGAGUCUUUGAACGCAAGUUGCGCCCGAGGGACCCUCCCGAGGGCACGCCUGCCUCAUGGGCGUUAGAAGCCCAUCCACGCUCGGUUGCCCAACUAACGGCAGAGAUGCGGACAUUGGCCCUCCGAACCGCGAGGUGCGGUGGGCCUAAGUGUGCGGCCGUCGUACGUGGCCGGGAGCGGCGAGUUGUGGGCUGCUGCGCACGUCGCCCCGAGCCCCGUACCGACGCAGGGCCUUGUACGACCCCCUAACGAGGAGCAAGCCGCUGCGGCUCCGGCUGCGCGGCGCCUUCGGACCGAUACCCCAGGUCAGGCGGGGCUACCCGCCGAGUUUAAGCAUAUAAAUAAG
rnacentral:rRNA from 1 species